UGUUUAACAGCUUCUUUUAGCUUUUAUUCAAUAUGGAUUACUGAUGAUUAUAUGUAAUGAUAAUACAGCAUGUUUACUCUAUCAUAUUUUUAGUUUGUGGUCUCUACUUUCUGUUUUGCUAUGCCACAGUUAUAAUUACUAUGUGGUACAUAGAAAAUACACUAUAAACAUCACUUGAUUGAAUGAAUGAAAGAAUACAUGAAUUUUAUUACAGCCCAGAUCCAUAGUUUAUUGGCUUAAUUUCCGUGCAAAAUGAGAUUAUUAGUCAAAUCUAUUGAGUUAUCUGAUUUUAGUCAACAAAUAUUCAUUAAAAAGUUCAUGUAAGUCAUGUGGCAGAGGUGGGGGAUUGGAAGAAGAAUAAAAAGUUUCCUGUCCUUACAGAAAUUGCAAUUCAGACAAACAAGAGGAUAGCACAUGAGAAGCUAAUCAUUUAGCACAAGAAAACAUAUGUAUCAUAUAUCUUUCAGACAAAGUACUAUGCUUGGUAAUGUGAAGAAUACUAUGACUCCAGUUACUUAUAAUUUAGCUGAGGAGACAAGACAAAUAUAUUUACAAUGAAAAUAAUGCCAAACAAAAAAUGAUACAUUCUGGUGCUCAAGGUAAUGAGUCUCAGGACUGCAGUGGAUGGAAAUCUUUCAAAGGGUUGGCAUGUUUUCUCUCAGCCAAACGUUAGAACAGUUACGCCAAACUGAGGUGUGUGAACUUCAGAGGAGCACCAGGCAAUCCAUUGUAGUUUGAGAAGAAAAUGUUAACACUUCUACUUAUUUAAAAAGAAACUAGUCCUUAGUAACCUUUAACAAAAAAGAUUGACAACAGGCCAUCAUAGUCUGUAGCCUGUAGAUGUCUGAUGUUAGGAUUUAACAUGGUAUCACAUGGGAGGAAAGGAGUGGGAAUUGCAUUUCCCAGAACAAUAGGCACCUCCUUCCAUUUCUUUUUCAUGAGGCAUACUGGGUUACCUGGGCUCCUUUAAGUUCUAACUAAACUAACCUUCAUGAAAUAGACAAAUGACUCAAAAAAUCCUCCAAAGGAACAGCAGAUAAAAUUAAUAAUACAAGCACAAUUGGACUAAAAAGAAAAUCUUAGCUGUGACGCUUUUCUUUGUGAACAUGCUUUUUGGCAAUUACAGUAUUAAACAAGAUUUAUUCAGAUAUAACCAAAAGUUCCCUCCUCUCAGAUUCAAAGUUAUGAUGAAACUGUUUGAAGUGCGGAUUUUUUGUGUUAUUAUUGUUAAUGAAGAUCCUCAUGUCAUAUACUGUGCCUUGAGAUAGCUCACAAUUAGCAAGACAUUAAAAAACUAAGUAUCCAAAACAUAAAGACGAUCUUUUGCAAUUUUUUCAGAAGUCUUCAAAGUCAAGUGUUACUCAAUCUGGCACUUAGUGAAACAUCACUAAACUUAAUAACAAAUGUUUAGAAGUUUAUUUAUUACAAAAGACCGCUUGGGCUUUCCACAUCAUGCAGGGACGGGUCCAUAUAGCAUUGUCUUAAAGAGAAUCUUUCACAAUAUCCGGAGCACUUGAUGGCUGCAAACGAAGGAGGAGGAUGUCCUCAAAUUCCUUGCAGCCGGAACCUACUUAGUUGGCACCAACCUUGAUUUCCAAAUGAAACAGUACAUCUACAAAAGGAAAUGUGAUGGCAUCUGUAUCAUAAAUCUGAAGAGAACCUGGGAGAAGCUUCUGCUGGCAGCUUAUACCAUUGCUGCCGUUGAAAACCUGGCUCAUGUCAAUGUCAUAUCCCUGGCCAGGGAGCUGUGCUGAAGUGUGCUGCUGCUACUAGAGCCACUGCUGUUGCUGGCUGCCCCACUCCUGGAGACUUCACUAACCAGACCCAGGCAGCCUUCUGGGAACUGAGACUUCUGGUGGCUACUGAUCCCAGCACCAACUCCAGCCUCUCACAGAGGCAUGUUAUGUCAACCCACCUACCAUCACUCUGUGUGACACAGAUGCUUCUCUGCACCAUGUGGACGUUGACAUCCCUUGCAACAAAAGGGAGCUCACUCAGUGAGUCUGAUGUGAUUGAAUGCUGGCCUGGGAGGCUCUGCGAAUGCGUGGCACCCUUUCCCCUGAACAUCCGUGGGAAAUUACCACUGCUGUCAACUUCUACAGAGAGCCCAAAGAAAUGAAAAGGAAGAGCAGGCUGCUGCCCAAAAGGCUGUGACCAAGGAGGAGUUUCAGGUGUUGGAAAAAUACAUAGAAAACAUUGUUGAAGCUGAAGACUUUGAGAAACAGAAAGAAAAUUCAUGAUCGAAUCACAAUUUUGUGCCUCA